CUUGAUCGAGCCCAACCAGAGUGGCUCCGAACGGUUUUGCCCGUACGUCGCCAAAAGGGCUUGCGCCUC
rnacentral:antisense_RNA from 1 species